rnacentral:tRNA from 1 species
GCGAGAGUGGCGGAAUUGGCAGACGCACUGGACUUAGGAUCCAGCGGUUUUAUCCGUGGGGGUUCGACUCCCCCCUCUCGCACCA